rnacentral:misc_RNA from 1 species
GGAUCUGUGACCAUUGUUGGUGCUGUGAACUUCGCUUUAUGUGUUCAUACACGAUCGGUCACCAAAUAUCGACUCUGCUGUCGGUUCAUCUAUAGGUUCAGUACAGCUUCUGUCGAAGUGUAGUGCUUUAGAUAAGACCAACUGUCAAACACAAUCGAAACCAUAAAGAUAUAUGGGUGUUGUGAAACCUGGAACAGGGAAGUGGCUGGCCAUUUAAAUGCGCUGUAGUUAAGACACAACAUUGCAAGGAACCACAGCGGCGUUUCGUUAUCACUUAGAACAACCUGGCGGCUACUUCACACCAUAAACUUUGUCACAGAUUGAAAAUCAGCCAUCGAACCCUGUAUUAUGUUCAGAACAUGGGGACAGUGAAGAGUAGUAAUUAACUAUAGACGCAAACAUUUAGUCUGAAGUUUUUAUGCCUCUGUCACAUCAGGCAUCGUUCGUUAUGAUUCAGAGUACGUGAUGAUUACACCGUUCAGGAACAAUAAUGACCAAAUCCAGGGAAAAUCUGGCGGAUUUGUAAGACGAGGGACAAGCUAAUCAUCAUCAUCACCAUGGUCUCUAAGAAAGAGUACGACAGGGUGCCCCUGGUUUCCGGAAGUGUCUCGGACUCUGAUGAAGAUUCCGGACCGGUGUACAACAUCAGCCUCCGUCAGAGGCGCCACAAUCGACCUUAUCACAGACCGUUCCUGGUGGCCGGGGCAUUAGUCAUCAUAGUACUGUUAGCGGUGAUCGCCGCCAUGUGUUACGUCAUAGUAAACCGCCCCGACCCCAGCAGGACCACCCUGCCGCCCUCUGUGACAGAGAACAUAAAGAUAACCCAAGGUUCUACAGAAGACGUCACCCCACCCAUUGGGACCAUAGCUCCGGACAAUCGACGUCGAACGACACCAGACUGGAAUGUGACUUUUGAUGCUCUGGGCACCGAGUGUGUGAUAAGACUGAUCGACAUUGACGGGGACGGCCUACAGGACAUAGUGUUUGGUGCCGCCGCCACCGCUGACCUCGCCAAUAUCGAAAGCCUUGACAUGAACGCAGAUUUGAGGAAAUUUUGCAAGGCGUCUGGCAGAACCUACCCAUGUAUCGGCACUUUUAUCGGUAUGAGGGGAUAUGACGGAAAAGUCCUAUGGAAAAUCCCUACACGAGCCGGCGCCUUACUGACAAACUGUGAAGACUUUAAUAUCAAUUUGGACGGAAACACCGACUGUGUCAUCGGAGGCCGCAGCGCCACCAUGGAGGCUAUAGACGUUAGGAACGGAAAACGACUUUGGGAAGCUCGUUCAGCAUUUUUCAGCAAUACCUGGAACUUUUAUCACCCAAUGGCCUUGCCUGAUUUUAAUGGAGAUGGUGUCAAAGAAAUAGCGGUCAUGCAUGGUGGGAAUCCAACCAAAGAUUCCAACGACCAUGACCGAGAGUCCGGCCGUCUGAUCAUGCUGGACGGUAGGACGGGGGAGGGGAUGGGGGUGCGCUCUCUGGAUAUGCCCAACAGCAAGGAGAGUUACCAGAGUCCGGUGAUGUACACCUACAGUGACGGAUCACAGUACAUCCUGCUGGGGAGUGGGGGCGAAACAAUUCCCGGGGAUUUUAUGAUGAUCUCGUUGCCGGAUUUUUAUCGUUACGUGAUGGGGAUCUCAAAGGACGCCAAAGUACCGAAUACAAGGGGAUCAUACGACCAAUGGAGCCAUCUCCACAGACAUCCAGACACGGGCAUCAUAGUGUUAUUCACGGGCGUGACGAAGGGCGUGAUGGUCCCGCCCCUGAUGACGGAUAUCAACCGUGACGGAGUGGACGACAUCGUGAUGUCGGCUUACGAUGGAAUCGUGAUGCUGCUGGACGGUAAAACCAUGAAGUCCAAAUGGAAAGCCGAAUUCCCGGGAAUGGAAUCUUACAGUACGCCUGCUCCGGGAUACUUUGAUGAAGAUGACGUAUUAGAUUUCAUGGUUCACUGGAGCACAGGCGCUUGGCCAAUGUACAAUGCCUCACAGAAAGUGAUAUUGAGCGGGAAGGACGGGAGUGUAAUCUGGCGGGCUGGCCUGAGGAAUUUUGAGAUGUCCUCAGACUUGACCAUUCAAACUACCGAACCCCACAGAGACAUUUAUCUGUACAAGAUGAAGGGGCGUGGUGCGCACGUGUACCAAGACGUCACGGGAGAAAUCCACGGUGUCGGGGUGCAGAGGAAUAUUUCCAUACUUCCAAAUAAUGACGAUUCCAUGGAAUAUAAAGAUUUCAUGAAAUAUCAUUUCCGGUGCAAUGCCGGGGUCGACAUUAAAUCGGAAAUUUUUAUGAUGGACAGAUCGACGGCCGACACGCCCAUCAAAAUAAUGGAAACGCCCCCAAUAGAAUACGAGUACCAUCCAAGAAUAAACUGGAAAGCUGGCGUUAGAAAUGAAAGUGUAAAUUAUUGUGCCGUGUUGAUUCCAGAAGAUAGAACCACGUCUGCCAUCGGUGACGUAGAUGGAGAUGGCAACCUUGACCUCGUGACCUUGAUCGGUCAUACCGGACAAAUGGUGGACGAGCAUUACAGCUAUGACAGAAUGAUCUAUAAGACUACACUAUACAAAAUUAACCUUAGUCCUGUUCUACAAAAUGGCGAAUUCCGGACUCCGAUUAAGAUGCAGACGACACUGCCACUAGAUCGUUACCACCAACAGAAGGACGUCUCAUUUUUACACCCGCUUCCGCUUAAACAACAGCAAUGGCUGUCAUACUUUGGUACCAAACAAAACGGACAUUUUAAGAAUAAAAGAUAACACGUUG